rnacentral:rRNA from 1 species
UACGUAGGGUGCAAGCGUUGUCCGGAAUUAUUGGGCGUAAAGAGCUCGUAGGCGGUUUGUCGCGUCUGCUGUGAAAACUCGGGGCUUAACCCCGGGCCUGCAGUGGGUACGGGCAGACUAGAGUGCGGUAGGGGAGACUGGAAUUCCUGGUGUAGCGGUGAAAUGCGCAGAUAUCAGGAGGAACACCGGUGGUGAAGACGGCUUUCUGGACCAUAACUGACGCUGAGGCACGAAAGCGUGGGUAGCAAACAGG